GCAAUCGCUCGCACCCAAUUCGCCUUAACGUCGAGUUUCAUCUGGAUGUCCACUGGUGGCUCGCUUUCUUUCGUGAUUGGAAUGGCAUCAGCUUCUUGUCGCUUGGCGUAUCCCAGCUUCCCGACUUGUUCGUCGCGUCGGAUGCAGCAGGGUCCAUCGGUUUUGGAGCUAUGUGGCGUUCCCAAUGGCGUUUCGGUUCCUGGUCGUUCCUGUCCUCCCCACAAUCCAUCGCGUUUAUGGAGCUUCUGCCUAUCGUUGUAGCUGCGCAUCUCUGGAGGGGGGGGGGGGGCAAGUUGGUUAAGACUACGGGUCCAAUUCCUAUGCGACAACCGUAGCGUCGUGGAUGCUCUCACGGCAGGGACGGCGCGCUCACCUCCUCUCAUGCAUCUGCUUCGCAGCCUCACACAGGUAGCUUG